UGGGGAAUUUUGGACAAUGGGGGAAACCCUGAUCCAGCCAUCCCGCGUGUGCGAUGAAGGCCUUCGGGUUGUAAAGCACUUUUGGCAGGAAAGAAACGUCGCGGGUUAAUACCCCGCGAAACUGACGGUACCUGCAGAAUAAGCACCGGCUAACUACGUGCCAGCAGCCGCGGUAAUACGUAGGGUGCAAGCGUUAAUCGGAAUUACUGGGCGUAAAGCGUGCGCAGGCGGUUCGGAAAGAAAGAUGUGAAAUCCCAGGCUAUACUUUGGAACUGCAUUUUUUAACUACCGGGCUAGAGUGUGUCAGAGGGAGGUGGAAUUCCGCGUGUAGCAGUGAAAUGCGUAGAUAUGCGGAGGAACACCGAUGGCGAAGGCAGCCUCCUGGGAUAACACUGACGCUCAUGCACGAAAGCGUGGGGAGCAAACAGGAUUAGAUACCCUGGUAGUCCACGCCCUAAACGAUGUCAACUAGCUGUUGGGGGCCUUCGGGCCUUGGUAGCGCAGCUAACGCGUGAAGUUGACCGCCUGGGGGAGUACGGUCGCAAGAUUAAAACUCAAAUGAAUUGACGGGGGUCAUAGCUG
rnacentral:rRNA from 1 species